UUGGGUUUCAAUUGUUUACCUCUGUUUUAGCCAUUGCUUAGGCUUCGGUUCUUUGUUGUGCAAGAAAAACAACACCACCGCAACUAUAAAAGUGUAUUUUUAAUUUUUAUAUUUGUUAAGCUUGAACAGCGAACGUUUCCUUUGUUUGUUUUUCCACUGAGCGUCAAGAGCAGACCGAUGUUAUUUGACUUGAGAUAUGACUGCACUAUGCUGUUGCUGUGACUCCAGUUAAUUCUACAAGACAUGCUGUGACAACAGGAGAGAUGGGUCCUCCGUCACAGAUGGUGUGGUCAGUGAAGAUGGUCGCCUGCAGGUUCAAGCUCAUUGCAUCUCCAACCCACAUCCACUGCCACUCUACUUAAGGGAAGUUAAAGACUAGAGCAGGGCGAUAUGGCCAAAAAUAUUUAUCACCAUAUAUAUUUGAAAAUUUGCGAUAACGAUAUAACUGACGAUAUAAUUGAUGCGAGACAAAAUACAACUCCACAACUAGCGCAAAAAGAAAAAACCCCAUCCAUUUAUUUUCACUUAAACAAGCAGCUGUUUUUUUUAUGCAUUAAAGCUAUAUCAAAAUUUAACAGUGCAAAUGCAAAUUCCUUGCUGAAAGUUUAACCCAAAUGCAUUUCCAGUAGAAAUGGGCUGACAUAUCCUGAGCAUAACCAUUUAUAAUAUCCACUGAAGUUAAAAAGAGGUGCUUUGCAACAUUAAACUGCAGUGUGCCAAAUAAAAAAGCCAAAUAUGUAUUUUUCGGACCAUAAGGUGCACGGGAUUAUAAGGCACAUUAAGCGAAACAAAGCAGUCAGAUAAAUCAAACUUUAUUCUACUCAUUCUUCUUGCUUCCUCCACUUCUGUACCAUUGAUUCAUUAAUGCUGUAUUCUAUCACAGCUGCUCUAUUCCCAUGUUGUUGCUGUAUAUUAAUGACUAACCUCGUAUUGUGGAUGGAUUAUCUCAGUUGUUCUCCUGACUGAAGUUUGGUCCGUUUACAGCAUCUUGCCAUGUGAUUGCAUUUGUCCCUAACCACCACGAACCCUCACGUUAACCUUUAUCGAGUGGAAAAGUAUUUUAUCUUGAUUAUAUAAGUAAUGUAGGAGCCAUAUGAGUUGCUCUUUUUUGACUAAGUGGGUUGGUUUAAAUGGACUCACUGUAUUGGUGCACAGGUGUGGGGCGUGCCUCAUGGGUGUGGUAGAUGAUAAAUGUGGUUGCACUCACCUGUUCACUGCACCUGAUGUUGGUGAGCAGAAAGGUAGGGUGAGCAUGAGGCAAAACUUUCUGUUGAUCGCAGCUUGAGCGCAGCUUGAAUGACUUUGAUAGAUUUUGACUGUAACUUGAUGUUUUUUGUAUAGUUGUGCACUAAUUGAUGCCAUAGGCCAAGUUGUUAUUUGGCAUACUAAUUGGUAGUGAUGGGUAGAUGAGGCCUCGUGAAGCGUUUCAGCACAUUCCCCAAACUGUGUGGACACAGUUUUGCUGUUUUGCUCCAUACUGACACCUGCUGGACCUUAAAUAUCAUUGUAGGCAACUUACUUGAGACUCACAACAAUUCACAACAAUUCAAUGACCUAGUCAUACUUAUACACUGUAAGGUAUUGUACUUUCUAUGGAAUCAUUUUAUAUCUUUUAUGUUGCAAAUAUUGUAGACAUCACCAGUGUGUGAAUGGGUGGAUGACUGGAUGUGUAAAGCGCUUUGGGGUCCUUAGGGACUAGUAAAGUGCUAUACAAAUACAGGCCAUUUACAUCUUUAAAAUAUAGUGUGAAUCACAUUAAAUGAAAAUUAAGAUGAAAGUAUUGUGAAUGUAAUAUUACCCAUUCGACUCAGUUUAUUAUAAAUUUCUAUUCAGAAAUAUAAGUUUAUCCAAUCUUUUUGCAUUUAGUCUAUUGUGGGUUUUUUUUGUUUUUGUUUGUUUGUUUGUUUGUUUGUUUUUUACACCUUUUCCCCAGCUUUGGAAAACUCACAGGCACAGAUGAAGCUGGGGUACACAAAAGCUGUAAAGUCAGGUGGAAAAGGUUCUGAUAAGAUGUCUUCCUAUUCCCCCAGUACGUUAAAGGAUCCUCUGAUCUUGGAAUUUUUCUCUCUGACACUCUCCACAAUACUAAGGGGUUGGCAGUCCUUUAUAAUAAAAUUCAGGACUGCUUGGUCCAGAACAGUCUUCCUAGAUGCUUGAUUUGAAAAAUAAAACGCAUACUAAUAAAAAAAAAAAUGAUGAUAAAGCUGUUCAGUGUCAGUAUAGGCCGACCUGUGUUCAUUCUCAGUGUGUUUGUCUCCUCAUUUUCAUGUUUGGCUCUGUAAUGCCUCUGUAACACUGAGGAUUUGCUUUUGUUUGUAAGAAAGCUCUGCAGAACAGAUGCAACAUUUAUCCUGCAUAAAAUGAAAUAAAUAA